rnacentral:rRNA from 1 species
CAAUAGCGUAUAUUAAAGUUGUUGCGGUUAAAAAGCUCGUAGUUGGAUUUCAGUCUUAGGUGACCGUCCUGCCCUUGGGUUGGUGACUGGUUCACUGUAGACUUUUGUUCGAUUACAUGGUUCUACCUCGUUGUGGAACCUGUAUCUGAACACAUUACUUUGAGGAAAUUAGAGUGUUUCAAGCAGGCGAACGCCUUGAAUACAUUAGCAUGGAAUAAUAAAAUAGAACUUGGUUCUGUUUUGUUGGUUACUGGAACUAAGGGAUUGAUUAAUAGGAACAGUCGGGGGCAUUCGUACUUAACAGUCAGAGGUGAAAUUCUUGGAUUUGUUAAAGACGAACUAAUGCGAAAGCAUUUGCCAAGAAUGUUUUCAUUGA